AAGCCAUGCAUGUCUAAGUAUAAACGAGAUUAUACUGUGAAACUGCGAAUGGCUCAUUAAAUCAGUUAUAGUUUAUUUGAUAAUAACUACUACUUGGAUAACCGUAGUAAUUCUAGAGCUAAUACAUGCGAAAAUACGCGACGUAGUGGACGUUUUAAGGAGGAGGGGGGCAACCUCAUUUUUGAAUUUUGACGUGUACGGAAGCGUAGUAUUUAUUAGAUACAGAACCAAUGCGGGGCAACCCGGUUACAUGGUGAUUCAUAAUAACUUCGCGAAUCGAAAACAAGACGCUUCCACUUGUCAAAGGGGGGGAGGGUCGUCGAUGAUUCAUUCAAAUUUCUGCCCUAUCAACUUUCGAUGGUAAGGUAUUGGCUUACCAUGGUUACAACGGGUGACGGAGAAUUAGGGUUCGAUUCCGGAGAGGGAGCCUGAGAAACGGCUACCACUUCCAAGGAAGGCAGCAGGCGCGCAAAUUACCCAAUCCUGACACAGGGAGGUAGUGACAAAAAAUAACAAUACAGGACCUCAAAAGGUCUUGUAAUUGGAAUGAGUACAAUUUAAACCCCUUAACGAGGAACAAUUGGAGGGCAAGUCUGGUGCCAGCAGCCGCGGUAAUUCCAGCUCCAAUAGCGUAUAUUAAAGUUGUUGCAGUUAAAAAGCUCGUAGUUGGAUUUUUUGGAGCAGACAAGCCUGUACGAGGGGGAAGAGAUUCGAGGCAAUUUUUCUCAUUUUUAUGGGAGGGAGGGCAAGGGUGAUUUUCUUUUUUUGUAUAUAUAAAGGGCAAGUGAAUGCAAACCAAAGACAAAGCCUAAAGGCUAGACUCUGCCGCUUGAAUGUGGGGGAGUGUAGAGUUUGGGAGAUUUACUGUGAGAAAAUCGGAGUGUUCAAAGCAGGCUAUAAUAAUGCUUGAACGUUGCAGCAUGGAAUAAUGGAAUAGGAUGACGAACUUAUUUUGUUGGUUUCUAAGGUCGAGAUAAUGAUUAAUAGGGAUAGUUGGGGGCAUUAAUAUUUAAUUGUCAGAGGUGAAAUUCUUGGAUUUAUGAAAGAUUAACUUCUGCGAAAGCAUUUGCCAAGGAUGUUUUCGUUAAUCAAGAACGAAAGUUAGGGGAUCGAAGACGAUCAGAUACCGUCGUAGUCUUAACCAUAAACUAUGCCGACUAGGGAUCGGUGGAAGUCAGAUAUAUAGAUGACGCCAUCGGCACCUUAAGAGAAAUCAAAGUUUUUGGGUUCCGGGGGGAGUAUGGUCGCAAGGCUGAAACUUAAAGGAAUUGACGGAA
rnacentral:rRNA from 1 species